UUUCUCCUGGGGUGUUAGCCAGCCAAGAAGUCCCUGAGCCGAUAAUUUAUACUCGGCCUCUCUCCGUCAACAUUGUUGUGCAAUUCCGUGCGUCGGAAAGCCUGAUUUGUUGCGAGGGUCGCCACCUUGAACUUCUCGGUUCAAGGCCACAUUGGCAGCGGCACUCUGGGGUUUAU
rnacentral:other from 1 species